rnacentral:rRNA from 1 species
UACGAAGGGGGCUAGCGUUGCUCGGAAUCACUGGGCGUAAAGCGCCCGUAGGCGGCUUUCUAAGUCAGGGGUGAAAUCCUGGAGCUCAACUCCAGAACUGCCUUUGAUACUGGAGAGCUUGAGUCCGGGAGAGGUGAGUGGAACUCCGAGUGUAGAGGUGAAAUUCGUAGAUAUUCGGAAGAACACCAGUGGCGAAGGCGGCUCACUGGCCCGGUACUGACGCUGAGGUGCGAAAGCGUGGGGAGCAAACAGG